GUCAGACUUAUUAGCUCCAGGCAUCACUUGCUUUCCUAUGUAUACUUUUCUACAGUGUAACUGCCAAGCAAAAUGACAAAAAGGCAAAUUUGCAAAGGAACAAGUUAGUGUUAUUGUUGUUGGUUGGGUAUUGUUCUCAAAGGAGCUGAAAUUCUUCUAUUUUAUCAACAAAAUGUGGUAUAAAGGAAUAUAUUGGCAGUGUGUAUCACCGCUAAGGCAGAAGUAUGUAGAAUGCUAUGUGAAUUUAAUAGUCAUAAGGACACAUUCUAAAAGAAUACGUAGUAUCUGUGUUUCCUGCCAAACAAGGAAAAAGUCACACUGGCUCAAAUCUCCAGGAAUGACUUGUAUGUUUCUUGUUCUUCUUGAUUCCAUUCUGAGGAGAUUGUUUCUGAGAGUAAGUUCUGGUCAAGCUCCUAAAAGUGCCAAAAUCAAGGGUAGUUGGCAUCUCUCCAAGUUCAUGUGCAAGGUAAAAAUGUCUUCAGAUAUAUAGAUGCACAGUCUAUAGUAUUACAAAUCUUUAAGGCAAUUCUUAUAUGCUCUUACUUUGUGUCUUUGAAUCUUAGAAUCAGUGUUCAUAUUUUAAGCAGAUUGUGUUUGUAUAUGAGAGAGAUACUAUUGCUGAUACUUGCUAUUCAUCAUAGUAACUACAUUCUAGUGUAAUUUUGACAUGGAUUAAACACUUAAUGUCUUGCUUACAUCUGUUUGACCAUAGCAAUUCCUAUUGAUUUCAUUUGGUCAGCAAAUACACGGCGCAAAGCUCACACUCUUCCUUUUAGUACUCAGGAUAG
rnacentral:lncRNA from 1 species